UAGGGAAUAUUGCACAAUGGGCGAAAGCCUGAUGCAGCAACGCCGCGUGCGCGAUGAAGGCCUUCGGGUUGUAAAGCGCUUUUCGGGGAGAUGAGCAAGGACAGUAUCCCCGGAAUAAGGCUCGGCUAACUACGUGCCAGCAGCCGCGGUAAAACGUAGGAGCCAAGCGUUAUCCGAAUUCACUGGGCGUAAAGCGUGUGCAGGCGGUUGUAUAAGUUGGAUGUGAAAUCUCCUGGCUCAACUGGGAGAGGCCGUUCAAUACUGUGCGACUAGAGGGCAACAGAGGGAGGUGGAAUUCCCGGUGUAGUGGUGAAAUGCGUAGAUAUCGGGAGGAACACCAGUGGCGAAAGCGGCCUCCUGGGUUGCACCUGACGCUCAGACACGAAAGCUAGGGGAGCGAACGGGAUUAGAAACCCCGGUAGUCCUAGCCGUAAACGAUGUAGACUUGGUGUC
rnacentral:rRNA from 1 species